rnacentral:rRNA from 1 species
CAUGCAAGUCAAGGGGGCCCAGCAAUGGGCAACCGGCGAACGGGUGCGUAACACGUGAGCAAUCUACCGAUUUGCGGGGGAUAGCCGGCCCAACGGCCGGGUAAUACCGCAUACGAUCUUCGGGAGGCAUUUCCUGGAGAUGAAGCCUACGGGGCAAAUCGAGGAGCUCGCGGCCUAUCAGCUAGUUGGUGAGGUAAUGGCUCACCAAGGCAAUGACGGGUAGCUGGUCUGAGAGGAUGGCCAGCCACAUUGGGACUGAGAUACGGCCCAGACUCCUACGGGAGGCAGCAGUGGGGAAUAUUGCGCAAUGGCCUAACGGCUGACGCAGCGACGCCGCGUGAGGGAUGAAGCUCCUCGGAGUGUAAACCUCUGUUGCCAGGGACGAACAGCUGAAUUCAUUCAGCCUGACGGUACCUGGUGAGGAAGCACCGGCUAACUCCGUGCCAGCAGCCGCGGUAAUACGGGGGGUGCGAGCGUUGUCCGGAAUCACUGGGCGUAAAGGGCGCGUAGGUGGCCUGAUAAGGGUGUGGUGAAAGUCCGGGGCUUAACCCCGGAUCUGCCAUGCCGACUGUUAGGCUAGAGUGCUGUAGGGGCAGGCGGAAUUCCGGGUGUAGCGGUGGAAUGCGUAGAGAUCCGGAGGAAGACCGGUGGCGAAGGCGGCCUGCUGGGCAGAUACUGACACUGAGGCGCGACAGCGUGGGGAGCAAACAGGAUUAGAUACCCUGGUAGUCCACGCCGUAAACGAUGGGUACUAGGUGCCUGGGGGAGCGACCCCUUGGGUGCCGGCGCUAACGCAGGAAGUACCCCGCCUGGGGAGUACGACCGCAAGGUUGAAACUCAAAGGAAUUGACGGGGGCCCGCACAAGCGGUGGAGCAUGUGGUUUAAUUCGACGCAACGCGAAGAACCUUACCUAGGCUUGACAUGCAUGGGAACCUCCUCAGAAACGAGGAGCCUCCUUCGGGAUCCAUGCACAGGUGCUGCAUGGCUGUCGUCAGCUC